GUACAUACACAUCAUAAAUUCAGGGCCGUAUUUAAGGACAAUCGCCUAACUUCGGCAAUUUGUAUGCGAUUGCAAUAAAUGAGCUAUCAGUUUAUUUAAAAAUAGAUUUAAUUUA